rnacentral:lncRNA from 1 species
GUAAGAUUACUGCCCCAAAUCAGCUGACGAAAGCCAUUGCAUUCUAAGUAAUUCGGUUAUAUAACUUUUCGUAAGGAAAAAAAAAACCCACGCAGAAAGAUGCAAGGAAGUUUCUGGAAGAUCAUUUCUUGCCUAACUUUUUUUUUUUUUCCUGAAGAAAUGUUGUUCCAGGGAGUGUCUGACUAGUUCUGCAGCUUGGCAAAAAAGCCAGACGUUACCUCAUAGCUGCGGCCAGACAGCCCAUUUCUAUGCCAGGCAACCACUGCAGAAGCACACAGCACAGGGCCCUGCUUGAUUAGCACUUCUGCUGUUUCGAGAGUCCUGGAGUGUUUUGUUCAAGGAGCAGUGCGGAGGUUGGUGUGUCUCGGUGACCAACUGGCAGUCUGAGCUGCCUGCUGCCUCUCCUCCCUGGGAAACUGAGACGUCGCAAAGGCACUACAAAAGAGGCCCCCAGCACAGUGCCGUGAUGGCACAGGGACACGCCGUGACCGCACCGCGAUUCCUUUUGGCCCUGCUGACCAGAAUCCUGAUCUCAUGUCCCCCGUUAUUUUCUGAGCUGCUGCUGACUUCUAAGGCCUGCUGCACGGCU